GUGCUGGUCAGGAAGACAGCAGAAGAGAGACUUGCCUGAGAGGACAAGGGGCAAGUGGAAGGCUAAAAGGGAAGGGAAGAGUUAAACACAUGCAUAGAUUUGGAGUUGCGAGACUUUCACCCUCUUCAUGCUGGACAUGCCCUCUCAGUCUGAGCGAUGAGCUUCAUGAAGACAGAGGUCUCGAGGUCCUGCUCAUCAUUGCUUCUUCGGUGCCUAGCACAGCUCCUGGCAUACAGUAGGAGCUCCAUCGAUGCUUGGUGAUUGGACAAAUGAAGAGCGAAUGAGUACUCCAUGAGGAAAUGAAUUCUCCACCAUGGGCAUUAAGAAGUUGGGUGGUCAAUAGUCAGGAAGAAAGCGCUUGCCUGGCAAGCUCAAGGUCUUGAGUUCGGUUCCCAGUACCGGAGAAAAACCAAAAAAGAAAAAAAAAAAAAAAAAAAAGUCAGGAAGCACCCCCAGCUCCUGCAUUAGUUGAAGGUAUGUGGCCUUGAGCAUGUUGCCUAACCUUUCUGGCCCUCUGCUUUCUCUUCUGGAUAUAAGGAUAACAACAACCAUAAUACCUACUUCAUAACAUUGUGAGGCUUAAAGGAGCAGAGGGCGGAUCAAAGAUCUGAAUGUUAAAAUAGAAACACAAUCUGCUGGAAGAUAAAAUAGAUACAACUGUUGAAGACACAAGGAUUUUCUGAGCAGAACCCCAAUGGCACAAGAAAUAAUACCGAGAAUGAACAAAUGGGAUCAUAAUAAAUUAAAAAGUAUCUUCACAGCAAAGGC